AGUUUGAUCCUGGCUCAGAUUGAACGCUGGCGGCAUGCUUUACACAUGCAAGUCGAACGGCAGCGCGGGCUUCGGCCUGGCGGCGAGUGGCGAACGGGUGAGUAAUACAUCGGAACGUGCCCAGUAGUGGGGGAUAGCUCGGCGAAAGCCGGAUUAAUACCGCAUACGACCUGAGGGUGAAAGCGGGGGAUCUUCGGACCUCGCGCUAUUGGAGCGGCCGAUGGCAGAUUAGCUAGUUGGUGGGGUAAAGGCCUACCAAGGCGACGAUCUGUAGCUGGUCUGAGAGGACGACCAGCCACACUGGGACUGAGACACGGCCCAGACUCCUACGGGAGGCAGCAGUGGGGAAUUUUGGACAAUGGGCGAAAGCCUGAUCCAGCAAUGCCGCGUGUGUGAUGAAGGCCUUCGGGUUGUAAAGCACUUUUGGCGGGAACGAAAAGGGCCGUGCUAAUACCAUGGUUCGAUGACGGUACCCGCAGAAUAAGCACCGGCUAACUACGUG
rnacentral:rRNA from 1 species